UACGAAGGGUGCAAACGUUGCUCGGAAUCAUUGGGCGUAAAGCGCACGUAGGCGGCUUCGCAAGUCGGAUGUGAAAUCCCUGGGCUCAACCGAGGAAGUGCAUCCGAAACUGCGGAGCUUGAGUAUGGAAGAGGGUCGCGGAAUUCCCGGUGUAGAGGUGAAAUUCGUAGAUAUCGGGAGGAACACCAGUGGCGAAGGCGGCGACCUGGGCCAAUACUGACGCUGAGGUGCGAAAGCGUGGGGAGCAAACAGG
rnacentral:rRNA from 1 species